UACGGGAGGCAGCAGUGAGGAAUAUUGGACAAUGGCCGAGAGGCUGAUCCAGCCAUGCCGCGUGCGGGAGGACGGCCCUAUGGGUUGUAAACCGCUUUUGUCAGGGGGCAAUAAGGUCUACGUGUAGACUGAUGAGAGUAGCCUGGCGAAUAAGCAUCGGCUAAACUACCGUGCCAGCAGCCGCGGNUAAU
rnacentral:rRNA from 1 species